CCGAAAUAUCACUCAAGUUGAGAUCUUUUUCUUUCAAUUCAAUAAUAAAUUGAGUUGGUGUUAGAGAUGGUCGGUAGAGGGCGGUGGUAGCCAGCGACAGCCAUGAUGGAAGUAAAGUAGAGAAUUAAUGAGUGGCAGGAAGAGUAUGGCCCAUGCGGUGGUUGAAGAAAAUGAAGUCUGGCCCAAGUCGAAUGGAUCACAACAGGAUGUUGAUUUACAUGAAAGUCAUGCAAUAUAACAAUGAGAUCUAAGUGGAAAUCAUGAUGCAAUCGGUUGCAAUUUGCUGAGAAAAGUGGUUGAAGAUGUGUUCUUCAUACUGCUGAAAAACCAUUUCUUCACCUCCAAUUUCCCUAAUUCAAACUUGUUUUGAGUCCCACAACUCAAUCUAAGGCUCCAAGAGAAUAGUAAGGAAUACCUUGUGGUGGUUCACAACCAAAGAAAAAGAAGAUUGCAGCUGAAGAUCGUGAUUCAAGAAGUACUUCAAAAGUUAGUAUCGAAGAUCUCUUUUUAGUUUAUGAGCAUGUUGAAUUUGAAGCCAAAAUUAAUGAAUUAGAAUGCUUAAUGAUCCUGUUCUUUUUUUUUCAUGACUUGUUUUUGUAUUUUAACACUUCCACCAUGACCAUGGGCACGAUGUAGCUACCUAAAGGAAUACGUCGGAAGGCUCCAGCUCAAAAGAUCACAAAGACAAAGCCAAUAAGUGUUAGUAUCACCGAUCCUUUAAGGAUCGGACAAAUGCUUGAAGGUAAUCUCCACUGUCUGGAGGACCAACAAAAAGACUCAUUGGAAGAAAAAUAAAGACUCUUGCCUGAGAAGCCCGUAGAGACAAACCAACUGGGAUUUGGACGAUUGAGUUAGCCAAGUCGAACUGUCCUAUCGACUUCAUCAAAAAGAAAGCUUAGGCCCAUCUACAAUUGCACAGCGAUACACUAUUCAUCUCUCUCGCGAGUUGGCACAACUCUAGUGUGGAGAAUGUUGGUGGAUGGGGGCAGCUCUAUCAACAUCUUGUUCAUGUCUACGUUCGAACAACUUGACUGGGCAAGAAGCAACUUAAAGAGGUUUCCCACCCUAUAAGUUAUAUUUUUCAGAGAACGAGUAGUUCAAGAGGGUUAGUAGACCUCUCUAUCAAACUCAGGGAAUGAGUCGAUCGCAUAAGUAAAACUAUGUAGUUUGUGGUGGUCAACAGCUUAAGCCCAUACAACAAUUUUAGGUAGACCCACUAUUUACGCCCUAGGUGUCAAGUUGUCUAUCUACCAUUAGUUGAUCGAGUUUUUAACCCCAAAUGGGUUUGAAACUGUCAAAGGAGAAUAGUGUGCCUCACAAAAAUGUUACGCCACUACGUUAAAAAACACCUAGACCAACUGAGUCCACAAUCUGACGUCCUCAAUCUCCUUUCACUUUACUUGGGAACCUCUCACCCUAUGUAUUUUAAUCAAUUUCAUCCCCAACCCAAGACAAGCAAAAUUAUUUAAUGUUUAUUUCCUUAAGUGACAUCACUUCUUCCUUUCACUUUAUUUCCCCAUGUUACGUUAAACUCGGGCCAAAUUUUAGAGCCACAACCACAAUUGCUCCUUAAGGAUGAAUGUGUGCACAAAAAAAAAGGGGGAAAAAGAAAAGUAGCACUAAAAAAAUUGAGUUAGAAUCUUGAGCUAUCUUAGAAUAAAUAUUUAAUCCUAAUAACGUUGCAAAAAGAGGGAGAUGAUGAUGAGAUGAGUAAACAAGAAAAAAAAUCAUCAAAAGCCCAACUCUCCAAGGCAAGAUAGGAAAAAAUACCAAUUAAAAUGAUCACGGUGUUGAGGAAUGACUAUCAUCCUGUCCAUGAGCAAGAGGACAUCGUAGGUUAGACAGGUGAAGAACUCACCCCGACCAAACACGUCCCCAAAAAAACCUGGGAAGGGUACAUAAAGCACGCUCAACCAGUACACCAUCACAAGAAAGCAGCUUCAACCAACUAGGCAUUUUUAACUAGCAAGUUGCUUAUCUAGAAAGGCCGAAGAAGACACCCUGAAAAGGGCAACCUCCAAAACCCCAAACACGACAAGUUGAAGAGCUAUCAAGGGUAUCGACUAACUUUUGGGCCAAUUGAUGACAAGUGCAAAUAGCUACAAAAGGUAACUACUUCAGUGAUGACUCAACCAGGGUCUCGACCUAAACAUGAAAAAACAUAACUUUUAUAGAACUAGUUGAACAGUAUUUGGUACACCUCAGGUCGAGACAUAGAAAGUAGAUACCAGUCAUACUUGUCGAUGAUCUAAGCCUCUAGGGAUCCAAUCAAAACAAUCUAAUGAAUAAGAAUCGUUUUUAACUUUCAAAGAGGGGAACAUAUAUACCCCAAGGAUUGAGGCAAAAAAAUGUUGUAAAUAACAAAAUGAAAAAAAAAAUAGGUGGAUAGCACAAAUACAAUGUCAAGCACAAUGUCACAAAUAAUAUGUAUGACAAGUAGGCAACACGAAAGAAAACAAAAAAAUAACGACAUGGAGAUUGAUAACCUAGUUCAGUGCAAAAUCACCUACGUCUGAGGGGUUGUGUGCCCAAUGGAAUGAAACUUCACUAUAUAAAGAGUUCAGCAAUUACAAUGAAAGUACUUAUCUGAUAGACUCCCCCUUCCGUGACUCACAUAUAGCUUCCUCUUUAGUUUCAACUUAGGCUCCCUCUAAGUUUGAGCUCCCCUCACUUCCACAAUAAUGUUUUUCCAAGUUUUGUAUGAUAUCCCUCAAUACAAAUACUUAAGCUCCCCCUAAGAGUGAGAUCUUCUCAUACUCAUCAUAUUUAGGCUCCCCUAAAUAUGAGUUUUUAUCAUCUUGAAUGUACUUAGGCUCCCCUUAAAUACAAUAUCAAAUCAAACUCUUCCUGAAUUCCACAUGUUGAGUUUUUAGCAAAAUAUUAGAAGUGCAGUUGUCCUACAUAAAAAAGAUUUAGAAAAGUUCUGGUCUUGUCCUACAUUGAAAAGGUUUAGGAAAGUCAUGGGCUUGUCUUACAUAAAAAAAAAAAAAAAAAAAAAAAAAAAA